CAGCAGCCACGGUAAGACAGAGGAUGCAAGCGUUACCCGGAAUGAUUGGGCGUAAAGCGUCUGUAGGUGGCUUUUCAAGUCCGCCGUCAAAUCCCAGGGCUCAACCCUGGAUAGGCGGUGGAAACUACCAAGCUGGAGUACGGUAGGGGAAGAGGGAAUUUCUGGUGGAGCGGUGAAAUGCGUUGAGAUCGGAAAGAACACCAACGGCGAAAGCACUCUGCUGGGCCGACACUGACACUGAGGGACGAAAGCUAGGGGAGCAAAUGGGAUUAGAGACCCCUGUAGUCCCUGUCUCUUAUAC
rnacentral:rRNA from 1 species